GGGCACAUGGUGUAGUUGGUUAUCACGCCCGCUUAGCACCGCAUCACGGUUUCUGCGGGCGGUCCCCGGUUCAAUUCCGGGUGUGUCCA